UCCUAUAACCAGCAACCCAUCCAAAUUUAUCCAUUUUCUCUGAAAAAUAAGCUCCACGAAAAUGGCUAAGGAGGCAAAACCUUGGUUCCGUUAAGAAGAAGGAGAAAUCUCAGUAAAAUCUCGAUUUGCCGAAAUCUCAUUACUUUAAAUCCUUAAUUUUUUUUCUUAAUUCAAUGAAACGUUGUCGCUAAGCCGUCAAGUAUUGACGGCUGAAGAGUGAACGCAAAAACAGUUGAGCCAGAAACUAGGGUUUUACAGUCGGAGGAGAGAGAAAAUCUUGAGAAACAAUGGCGAAAUUCAACGAAGUACAGAAGAAAAGGAGAGCACUAAUUUCACAGAAUAAGAGAGCGGUGCACGGUGUUCCCUUCACUAAGAAGCUUAAACGCCAGACGCAACUUCAAUCUGUCUCCGGGAAGCGCAAGAAAAAGAACCUCAAAAAAUGGCGCCGGGUAUAUAUUUUUAAUUUUUGUUCUUGGUUUCAAUCUUCAUUAUUGUCGAAUUAAUUGAUUUAAUUAAUAAUUUCCCUAAAAAAUUAGGAUCAAAAGGAGUUGAUAGAUAAGGGUCUUGUUACUUUGGAUGAUGUUGACAUGGCUCCCGCCGAUGGUCGAUUGUAUGCGAUGGAACUAGGGCAGCAGAUUCAUCAAAUAGGUGGACCUGCUAGGGGGAUAUUAUGAUGAUGGAGACAAUGUAAAGUACGGGCUGCAAGGGAACAUAAACCUGGUACUGAGAUUGCUGCUGAAACUUCUGCUGCCAUGGCUGCUGCUUCUAUUGUCUUCCGCAAAACUGAUAAAAAAUAUGCUCGCCAACUCCUCAAUAAGGUUAAAGUAAUGUUCCUGUUUCACAUCGCAUGCUCCAUUCUCGUGUCCAUAUAGUCCCUUGUGUGCUUAACAUGAUGUGAUUUCCAUUUGUGUAAAUAUAGAUAUAUAGUUCCCUUGGCUGCUUAGCUGUCUAGUUUCAUGUCUUAAACUCAGUGUGGGAGGUCGGAAAAAGAGGACUGUACUCUUAGAACAAGAUCUUGUUAAUCCACAUGAGAUCAAUUCUAGUAUAACCGAGCACCAAUAAAUCUACGAAGCUUAGAGAGAGUUUGCCAGUUUUUUGCAUGGUGUUAGGUACUCUCAUCGAUGUCUCAGUACUUUUUAUCAUAAUUCUAACUGAACAUUUGUGACAGUACGUUGAACCUCAAAACCAUGUGAGGGUCUCGCAAGCAGAGCUCUUGAUCAUAUUGAUAAGAUUGAUGGCGGGGUUAUUUUCAUCGAACUAUACCUCAAAUAUUGAUAAGAAUAUUUAUAAGCAGUUCUGGUAGCAGCAGUUCUGGGAGCUAGCAGCAGUUCUGACAGCAGCAGAUUUCAGUACAAUUUCAGUUUGAGAUGGCGGACAGUUUCAGUACUUAUUGCAGGGCAAACAGCCAGCCGGUGCCGCUCUUAAUAGCUCCAACAGCAAUGCAGCCAGAAAAGGCUGAGGAGGCGGACAAUUUCAGAACCAGCUUGUUAAAAUGAAUGGCUCUUGUUUCUAUCAUCUAGCUUGUUGUUUGGAUAAUUUGUGUUGUUUGUUUUCAAUAUGUCAAAGGAACUUUGGUUU